rnacentral:rRNA from 1 species
UACAGAGGGUGCGAGCGUUGUUCGGAAUUACUGGGCGUAAAGCGCGCGCAGGCGGCCUUUUAAGUCUACCCGUGAAAUGCCGGAGCUCAACUCCGUGCACGCCGGGGGAUACUGGGAGGCUGGAGACAGGUAGAGGCAAGCGGAAUUCCGGGUGUAGCGGUGGAAUGCGUAGAUAUCCGGAAGAACACCUGAGGCGAAGGCGGCUUGCUGGGCCUGAUCUGACGCUGAGGCGCGAAAGCUAGGGGAGCGAACGGG